UACGUAGGGGGCAAGCGUUGUCCGGAUUUAUUGGGCGUAAAGAGCGUGUAGGCGGCCAAGCAGGUCCGCUGUGAAAACUCGAGGCUCAACCUCGAGAGGUCGGUGGAAACCGUUUGGCUAGAGUCCGGGAGAGGGAUGCGGAAUUCCAGGUGUAGCGGUGAAAUGCGUAGAUAUCUGGAGGAACACCGGUGGCGAAGGCGGCAUCCUGGACCGGCAUUGACGCUGAGGCGCGAAAGCCAGGGGAGCAAACGGG
rnacentral:rRNA from 1 species